CUUGAGAUGAUCAUGUGAUUUUUAUUCUUCAUUUUCUUAAUGUGGUGUAUCACGUUGAUUUAGUUGCAGAUGUUUAACCAUCACUGCAUCCCUGGAAUAAAACCCACUUGAUCAUCACAUAUGAUCUUUUUAAUGUAUUGUUUUAUUCUAUUUGAUAGCAUUUUGUUGAGGACUUUUGCAUUGAUGUUCAUCAGUGAUAUUGGCCUGUAAUUUUUUUUUUGUAUUGUGCUUGUCUGGUUUUAGUAUCUGAAUAAUGUUGACCUCAUAGAAGAAGUUAGGAAGCUUCCCCUCUUCUUCAAAAAACUGAAUGUUCUUUGGCAGAGAGUUGAAUAGAGUAAAUGAAUUUGGCAUGUUUAUGGAAAAAGAUUGCUAGCACAUAUGAAGUUUUCCAUUUCAUGGUCCCUGCCUUGCUUCAACUACUCAUUUUUUGGUUACUUUUUUUCCCCAACACUCCAUUGAAUCAAGUGACUGCCUUUCCAUAUACUGAGGUUAUUCAGCAUAUGCCUUUUGAAUAGUUGUUAUAGGUCUAAGGUGCAUAAAGGUGCAUAUAGUUGUUAUAGGUCUAAGGUGUGGAGAAGGCACUGGAGAGUCACAGGAAAUGGGAGCAGAUGAGAGGGUGUGUGGUACCACGGGAUGCAUGCUGGAAUUAGAGUCACAGUUUCAAGGUUUAAAUUUAUGGUGCAUUCUUUUAUUGGCAACUGUGGACAACCUAUUUAACCUCUUUCAGAGUUCACUUUCUUUGUAAGGAGAAUAUGGGGCCUGACAAAAAUGGGUGAGAUGCUUGCCUCAUGGGAAUUAUAUCAGAUGAUGUGUGAUGGUGACUUGUAAAUUGGGACCCACUAUUUAGGUGUUAGUGGGUGUCUGAAAACUAGUGCUCCAAAAUUUGAAAUUCCUAAUAAAUAUUCCAAGAUGUUGUAAACUUAAAAGUUGAAUUCAGCGGUUAUUUUCCCCUCAAAACAAGUUACCAGAAUAAUUGUAAUUUGGGAAGUGCAUGCUAUGACAAACCAUAGGCAAAUUUGGAAAACAAAGGAGGGGAGCUGCUUUUAUAGAGAAAAAGGAGGAGGAGUUAGUGGCUGUUCUAAGUGGAAGACCAUUGGGGAAACAUAACAGUUGUAGGGGAGGAAGAUAUUUCCUCUACCCACUCUGAGUCCUUCUGACCAGAAAACAAAUUAAAUUCACAUGAGACAGAAUAACAGGAGAAAAUUAAACAAAGCUUUAUAACAUGUAUACAUGGGAGAGGCUCAGGUAAACUGAGCAACUCACCAAAAUGGUGGCAGUUCUCCCCUUAAACACCACCCUCAGGUAAAGACAAAGGAGGAUGUUGGGGAUGGAGGGAAUCAAUCAUGGGACGUUGCCAAAAAGUAUAGUAAACAAGAGUAAGAUUAUUAUGCAGAUUUAAGUCCUUGCCUUCUGCAUUGAUUAAGAGUUUCUAGAGAUAAGGUCAUCCCCCCUUCUUCCUGGUACAGAGAGGGAGACACCUUUAUAGAUGAAGAUUUCCCUUACAAAUGUAAAUGUCUCUUAACAAAGGGUAAGUAAAUUCUACUUUUCAGAGUUUGUUUCCUGUCUGCAGUUUUUUAAAAGUGACCAGCCCCAAAUAAUCCUCAUGCCAAAGAGUCAUAUCUUGGAGUGGCCAAUUUCAGUCCCCCAUACAGUUCAGGGUGGCAGUGGCUUCUCUUUGGCUGAGCUGAGGUGUUUCUCAUUGGUUGGGCUGUUGCCAGGUGGGGACAGAAAUCUUCCUUCAGCAGUAAAGUAGUUGUACUUCUUGUGGGAGAUGCAAGUACAUCUCUUUUCCUGUUUGGAGUAAUUGAUGAUGUAUGAUAGGGUGUGAGAGUUUCCCUUCCAGGCCUUCCUGACUCCUCAAUUUAGCUAAGGUUUCUUUUAUUAAUUUCCACAAUGUCUAAUAGAUUUUCUGUAGGAUAAACAUUCACUGCGAAAAAAUUAUGAAAUCCCAGGUAUUGUUUAGAUUGCUCAGUUUUAACAAAACAUCAACUAUUGUAAUUUCCCAAAUAGAAGAGCUGACUGUAGGAUAGUCCUUCCUACAAAGAAACUUGCCCUUCCCCCAAGAGUCCUAUAAGAAAUUGUCAUUAUUAUUGACUCUUUCAUUGACUGAUUACACAUAUCUUCAUUUUCUUUUCAUAAAGCAUAUGUGAGAAGAAAGCAACCUGGAAUAAAUUUGUGCUUUAUCGUAUAACUUUCAGUUAGCAGUCAAUGUCAACUGUGGGCAAGGCUUGAUCCAGGUUUUGUGGGGACUGAAACUUAAUCAACUUGGAGGACCUUCUUUGAGGAAAAGAGUGCAAAAUUACAAAUACAAAAUUAUGUAUGAAAAUGAAACUUUAUUUGGAGUGAGAGAACAGAUUAAAACAAAUCAGAUUUUUUCUUCUCAGUUCUUUUUAGACUAUUUACUGGAAAUGCUUACAUAGAAAUGCUUCAUGAUUGCAUUCAUGACUUCUCCUCCUCAGCUGGACCUUCACAAAUCCCAGCAACUCCUAGCAGCCACAGGGCUGUGCAAGGAAGCGGCCUGCAGGAUUAUCUGACCCUGACUAUGAGGAAAAUCUGUUUAACUGUUUUUGUUCCGUUUCUCUUCACUGGGGCUAACCCAUGCAAUUCUUUAAAAAGCAGAGAAGACUCUUCCAAGUAUGAUUGCUUUUUCAGUUAACUCCCCCUCUAGGGUAACUGCCAAGUGACAUCAGGCAAGGGUAUUCAAAGGAUUCCUCUUAUAGAGAGGUUCCUGUGCCUAGGAAUUUAAAUAAAAUUUCCCAGAGGCUAGACCUGGAGGCUAUUUGAAAUGAAUACCUGCCUUCCACCAAAGGUGAUUUUUAUUUUGUUUUGUUUUCCUGCUGCCCUUCUCCUCUUCUCCCUCAAGGCUGGAGCAUCUUUCAUUUUUUGGUCUCCAAUUUCAUUGUGUUAUCACACGAAACUGGGGUUCUCCUACUUGAUGUAGAUAAACAAGUUAAUUAAUUAUCACAUCAGCUUUUGGGAAAAGAAGUCAGCUUCCUUCUGCGAGAGUGAUCUGCAGGGAGACAAGGGGUGUGCCCUCAGAUCUGUCUCCUCAGUUUAGGAUUUGGGGCAAAAUUUAAGAGAUUAGGCAGAACAGGUUGUCAUGCAGAAAUGCUGGUGGGACAGGUUUUGAUUGGUGGGCUUCAGGCAUUUAUGGUAAGGUUCUAAACAUUUCUGGUAUGGCUUUAAACAUUUAUGGUGAGGUGGGGAAGAAACUUUAACACUGGAUCUUCCUGAAUGAUGGACUCCUCACUUCUGAUCUGAGUCUGACAUUUAGGGUCCAGUCACAUCCUGGUCCUUUGGUUCUUUAGGGAAGCGACCCCGGUUCUGCGGUCAUUUCAGGUCCAGAUUUAUUCUUCUGCACAUGUUCUGGCUACAUGACUUUGAAAGUUUUCUGAAAGACAAUCCUAUUUUUGGUGAGGAAGUUUUUCCCUGAGCUAACAUCGGUUGCCAAACUUCCUCUUUUUGCUUGAGUAAGAUUAGCUCUAAGCUGACAUCUGUGCCAAUCUUCCUCUAUUUUUUUGUAUAUGGGAUGCCACUUUGGCACAGCUUGAUGCCUGGUGUGUAGAUCCAUGCCUGGGAUCUGAACCUGCAAACCCCAGGCUGCUGAAGCAGAAUGCACAGACUUAACCACUACACCACUGGCCAGACCCUGAAAGACAACUCUUAAUCAUUCUGUUGAUAACAGAUGGGGUCUGUUCAAACUGGCUCUAAAUGGGCCUGUGGUUACUGCGUAAAGCACUGGUCCUCAAACCACUGCACACCUCCUAGGGAGCCUUCAAAACUACUCAACUGGGUUUCACUCCUGGGCGUUAUAAUUUAAUUAAUCUGGGGUGAUUUUACUGUGCGGCCAAAGUUGAGAAGCAUUGUCUAAGAUCCCAGUGGACUGUAUUUUUUUAAAGAUCUAUCUGCAUUUUUUUUAAAAGGACAAAAAUGACUGAGGAUCCAGAGUUGAAUAGGCAUGUAAGACCCCACUAAUUUGUGCACUUUUCUGCUGAAAAAUAAAAAGACCGCCAGGUUAUUUCCACAUGGUUGAAGAUAAUUGGUAUCUUAUUGAAUGAUUCUUAAAAUCAGUUUGGAUAUUAUAUAUAUGCUCUCAACCAUUGAAAAGAGGCAGAAUUUAAAAAUUAACUUCAUUCUGGUCUCUAAAUUUACUACCCUUUCCAAUUUUAUUCAAACUACAUGGCUAGAUUUAUCAAACUAGAAAUUUUUGUUUUUUAAGAUGUCUUAAAACUCUCUUUUAUGAUUCUCUUAUUUAGGGAGAGUCAGUGGCAGAUCAUAGGUGAAUGUGGAAUAGAGUAAACCUGGGAGUGAGGGCUAGAAGCUGUGCUGUAAAGUAGAAUGGCUAGAGAAUAGCGUGGGGGCAGGCUGAAUGGGAAAGCUGAGGUGUACGGCUGAGCCUACAAUCCAGGGUGGACACUGAGCCCAAAUGAAGGACGGAAGCAGAGUUUCAAGAUGUAAAGAGGGAAUGACAGUGUACAGAGUUAGCUUCUGCCAUAGAUCUAGCAUUACAGUGAUGGGACCAAGAUAAAGAGAUAUCUUGGUAGGUGUUCCCAACAGCCCUAGAAUAACUGAGACUUGAUGCUGAACCCAGUGUUUUUAUCAGACUUCUUUAUGUGAGUGGGGAUAGAUGACCAGAAGGCAUGAUCUUCUAUAGAGCGAGGCAUGGUUCUGCAGGGGCUGAAACCGAAGCAAAGGGCCACAUCUUUUUGUGAGUCAUGCAAUAAAUGUAGGAUGGCUUGAAGAGCAUUUAAAAUAAAUGAAAUUGAAUAGAAUUGGUAGAAAAUGCUUCAUAGAACUUAAAUGGAUGCACCUUGAUACAGUUUGUGUGUGAUAAGUAUAGUUAGGACAGAAGGGACAUAUAACAAAGGAAUUUUGAUAAUGUUUGGUACUUUUAGUUCUGGAAUAGCUCAACAAAAUUUGAAUUGUGAGAAGGAUAGGGGAAAACUAGGAAAUUAUUUCAAAUGUCUCAUCUGGGAGCUAUGGAGAAAAUGGGAGAAGUGUAGUAUUUUAAAAUUUUCAUUUGGGGGGUACUGUGGAAGUAGGGAAUGGAAAUAGAGUGUCCUGGGAGAGAAAAGAGUGCAUCUUUGUUGGAUAAGGAGUUUUCUUAUUUUUAAAUACUAGCGAAGAAUGGAGUCUUGUUGUGAGAACAGGAAGAGUGAAGGUGGCCCUCAAGGGAAGGAAAACUAUACUAGGACUUCCACAUUCCCAAGAGGAAAAGCAAUAACACAUAGCAACUUGAUUAAACCAGCAAAAAUAAGAAAAUAGGUAAAAACAAUGUAAAAUAAAUAACAGACUUGAACUAAAGUGAAAAAAUAAGAUAAACUGUUUAAAUUAUUAUAACAAAUGUAACAUUUGUUAAAAAUUAUAUCAAAUCAUUGUAACAAAUCCAAUUCUUCUAUUGACAGAAAAAUUGAGAAUGGGCCAAAAAAAUCUCUGAAAUCCUGGUUAAAUACAGCUUAUAAAAUUAAUUAAAACCAAAUAAUAAAUUAUGCUGAUGUGAAACAUAUAUCUUUCUGUUUGUCAUGUCAAAAAAAUUGAAACCACUGUUUUAGGAAGUUAUAUAAUUUUAACCUGAGAGUUACCUACUUAGUUGCUUGAUUGGUUGAUUCAUAUAUUCUUUCAUCUGCUCAACAAUUAUUUAUUAAAUCCUUAACAUUCUCCAAGUAUUGAGAAGUUUUUGAGUUACAAUGAUAAUAAGGAAAACAUGGUUCCUGAUCUCAUGGAGCUUGUCACCACACAGAAAUGGGGGGCUCGCUGCUGGUGUACAUAAAAAGCCAAUAGUUAUGGCAUUGGCUUUUGAGAAAAGAAAAGGCAUUAUUGUGAGGUCGGUAUGCAAGGAGACAGGACGCAAGGCUCUGAAAUCUGUCUCCCUGAUCCAGGGUUUGGGGAAACUUAAGAGGUUAGGGAGAAGAGGCUGGUAUGUGGAAAUACUGGUGGGGCAGGUUUCAGUUAGAAGACUUUAAACAUUUAUGGUAACGUGUGAGAGGGGAUUUAAAACCAGAUCUUUCUAAAUAAUGGACCCCUCACUUCUGAUGAGAGUCUGGCUUUCGAAUUCCAGUGGUGUCCUGUCUUUUGGUUCCAUGAGGGGAGAAUCUGGGUUAUUUCAGGUCAAGAUUUUUCUCCUCUGCACACGCUCUGGCUACAUGACUUUCUGUUUUUUGUCUUGCUGCCCCUGAAAAACAACCUUUAUCAUUCUGUUGAUAAGACGAGGUCAGUUUGAACUGGUCCCAUGGUUACAAGCUUACAUCCUAAAGGGAUAUAAAUAAUAAAUAAGUAUAUUAAGCCAAAAAUAAUUUCAUCUUAUCAUAUAGCUUAUGUGGGAAAGAAUCAGUGUGCUUGCAACAGAAUAACAGGAGGUAAUGUCGUAUAGAAAGUAUGAUCAGAGGUGACCGAGAAAGUGAACUUAGUUGAGUUGACUUCUUCUGUCAGAUACAUAGAGGUUCAGGAUUUUUGCAUCUCAUAUUUUAUGAACUAUUUCCUAUUUCUCAGUCAUGAGCCUCUCAUAAAAUUUAUAAAGACAGUUAUUUCAUUUCCCUCUACAAAAUGAGGGUCUAAAAUUUACAGACUUAUAAUGGGCUAAUCCAUUUAAUUAUAAUAUUUGGAAUCAAAUCAGACUUAUUUUAUUUGCCUUUAAGUUUAAAAAUACAUCUGAAAGUAAAUGAAAGGAAAAGAACCUCUAAAAAAAUUUCUCUAAACCCGCCUUCUAAAAAUAACAUCAAAAAACCAAGUAAUUAGCUAAAUAGGCUUCAUAUUCAAAGAGAAAUUACCAAUUAACCUUCUCCUGGCCCCCUAUCAGGAAAGGCAGCUGGAGAGUUGAAGAGUGAGGAAUUCCUACAGAGGGAGGAUGAGAUCCAUUUUGAGGGAUGCCCUUGCUGGAGGCAAUACUGACUUGAAAGAAAAUCCCAGCCACUGAUUCCACUUAAGUUUAGGAAUCUCUUAAAGGCUGAAAGGAAGAGCUCUGUUUGCUGAGAGAAAAAUAAACCAUCAGGACAAGGAAGGGGGUCAGUUGACAAAACCUGCCCAGAGUCUGAUCUGUUUUCUGUGAGUGGGUUCAGGUUUGGCACUGGAUAUGACCAAGAAGAUUAUGUUUUAUUUUGAGCCCAACACUGGUGAGAUGUCAUAUGCAAACACUGUCUAAGCUGUAUAACCUUAAUUUGCUGAUAAGAAGAGGAUAUAUUAUUUGUGUUAGAAUCAGAAGUCUUUCUGGAAUUCUAUAUGCCAUGCCUACUGUUUCUCCUUGGUGGGUUACACUGUCCUUAUGUCACCUACAAGAACAGCACAUUUUAAGAAAAUUCUUACCUGAAAAUUGAAAAUCGAAAGCAAAGAGCUAAGUGCUCUCUUUUCAUUGCUCCCCUAACACUAUAUCUAUCCCUCUAUUUUUUAUAUUUAAUGAUGAGUUUUGAAACUUUACUGAUAAGUGUUUUUCUCUAGGUUAUGAACUCUUUUGAGGGAUCUUGUUUAUCUCUGUAAUAUCACUGCCUCACGAGGUCUGACCUACUUAGAAAAUCUUGAACUGAAAAAAAACAUCGGGAAUGCUUAUUCACCUUAUUUCAAACGUAUAAACCCACUCCAACAUGGGCUUUUGCCCCCACCUCUCUGACAAAACUAUUUACAGUAGCCCCCCCAUAUCUGCAGUUUUGCUUUGCAUGGUUUCAGUCAAACACAGUCUGAAAAUAUACAUGGAAAAAUCCAGAAACAAGCACUUCAUAAGUUUUAAAUUGCACGUUGUUCUGAGUAGCAUGGUGAAAUCUUGCACCAUCCUACUCCGUCCUGCCCGGCACGUGAGUCAGCCCUUCGUCCAGUGUAUCCACGCUGUGUGCUCAGUAGCCGUCUCCUUGAUCAGGUCGCUGCUGCAGUGGCGCAGUGCUUGUGUUCAAGUAACCCUUACUUGACUCAAUAAUGGGCCCAAAGCAUAAGAGUAGUGAGCCUGGCAAUUCAGAAAUGCCAAAGAGAAGUUACUGUUUAUCUCUUACUGUGCCUAAUUUAUAAAUUAAUUUAAUUAAUGCUAAAUUAAUCUUUUUCAUAGGUAUGUAUGUGAAGGAAAAAACAUAGUAUAUGUAGACUUUGGUACUAGCUGUGGUUUCAGUAGUACUUAUCACAUUCUAUAAAGUUUAAAUGUUUCAGUCUUAUCAUCUGCAUCCCUCUGCUGGGGUAUAACCUCCAUGAGGGGAAGAAUUUUUUUGUCUGUUUCCUUCAUUGUUGUAUUGCCAGCAUGUAGAAGAAUGUUUGGCACAUAACAGGCAUUCGAUGAAUGCUUGUUAAAUGGAUGACUGGACAAAAAGAAAGGAAUAGUUUAUUUAGAGAGUUUGGAACAAUUUUCUUUUAUUUAUUUAAAUUACUGAAAAACUUUGUUUUGUGUGUGAACAUGCUAUAUAGUUCCAGCCUAUAGAAUAGUCAGGUUCACAAUUUAAUGAUGAGUAGGACAAUUAAUGUCAUUAAUUGAGACGCUGGAAACUCAGGAAUGACUGGGAGAGGCAGUGAGUCAGAAUUUAGACAGCGCUUUCUCCUUAGUGUAUAGCAGAGGCUAGCAAAACCAGCUCAAGCAGGCCCAGGAGGCUGACAUUAGCUUUCUAGGCACAGGUUGCAGUGAGUACAAUUUUCCAAGUUUCAUUCCUGAAGUUGAUACUGGCAGUUGAUCUGGGGAGACAGAGAGCACUGCAGAGGUGAAUGGACAGUUAGGUGGGACAUUGCUGAAGGACCUUACCAGUGGCCCAUAGCAGGACAAGGGGUUGAGAGCCUUCCUGAGAAUGGAGAUUGGCAAGAGCUAGGCAUGGUACCAUAGGCUGAGCUUUACAGUGGUGUUCUAAAGAACCUGGAAGGGAGACACAUCACAACAAAGGAGAGAGGGCUUAGUACUAUCCUGUUCUGGAAUCUGGGGCCACAGAAGAUGGAAUGAGCAGAGGGGGCUGGAAGUGCUAAAACUCUAAGAAUAUGAGGGUCAUCAUUUGUAUUCUGGAAUUUAGGAUGCACUGAUGAAGAAGAGAUAUGGGAAAGAAAAUAUAGAAGUCCUGAGAUCCAGUCAAGACCAUUAGCCCUGGGUCGGGGAACAAGGCUUUAUGCUGUCUCACCAGACAAAAGUGGGGAGUCGGAGGAGAGCAUAACCCGGAUCCUGAUUAAUGGACCUUAAAAUCCCAGUUUUAUUAAGUAAGUAUUGAAGAUUUAAAUGAAGACCAAAUCUACAUAUCUAAAUAAGCUAUUUUCCAUACUUUCUUGCUUUUCUGCCUGUCAUGCAAGCAAAUGUAACACUAGCGUUUCUACAGAGUCUGUGUAUAAAACUCUUGGUUGUUUGUAGAUAAGAGGAUUUGCAUAGGUCAUUGUGGUAAGCUUUUCACUUUAUGGCGAUUAGGUAAUUUGUUGAGGAUAGGAAGAUGUAAAAAUGUGACUCUCUGUGUCUUGUAUUUGACUGAAGCCCCAAGAUGAAGAGAAAGAAACGAGAGGAGGCAAACCAUUCCAAAGUGAGGUUCUGGACCACUUACUCAUUACUUGCUGAGGAGAUGCCCAAGCAGGUUUUAUAACUUUUAGCCUAAAACUCACUUGAGGGAAUAAAGUGUCAGGAUUGAAGAAAUAAAGAAAAAUAUUUCUUUGGAGAAAUUUAUUGCAUUCCAGUUGUAUUCCCUCCACCCAUGGGAGAAGGGAAUAAAAUGCUGUUCUUUCACUUCGUGCUGACUCUGAGGAGCUUCAGUGAAACACCUUGGAGAGCGCCAUUUGGAUUGCCUGCAUCUUUAGGCACAAAGGAUGAUGCCAGGUCAAUUCCCAGAAAGUCCUAAAGGGAAAGGCUGUGGCUGGGUAGUUGCUCUGACGGACAGUGAAGAGGCGUGAUGCACUGGAAGUCACUCACUCCAAGUGUUUAUUAAGUCAAAGGAAUCUAUGGACUGAAAGUGGGUUUGAGAGAGAGCUUUGUGCUAGAAGGUUUGAUUGGGAGGACUGUGGGUCCUGGAUGGAGAGCCUGAGCAGGGUGGCUUGCCAGAGUUUGAGGAGAGAGAUGCAAGCAACACAACGAAGGAGAGUCAUUGUCAUGUCAGGCGAGCUACAUUUGGAAGCUCCCAGGGUGUAUGGAUAAGGAGUGGGGUAGUGUUUUCCAAAGAAUCUACAAAGGAAAGAUUCAUCUUUGAAUGCACAAGUCUAGAGAGCACCAACUCCAGAUUGCUGAAGUGCCAGUAACCCGUAAAGUAAGAUCUUUCCUGCUCUUUACCUAUUUCUCUCUCUUCCUCUUCUCAGUGCCUACAAGAGCUGGUGGUGGAUGGCAGGGGGAGAGGAGGAGAAAGUAAAGAAAAAGUCACCCACGCUGUGUCACUCACUGUGAAGUCCAGCAUGAAGACUGCCAGAGAGGAGCUAGCGGAUGACUUCAAACAGGAAUAAAACGAGGAGUCAUACGAGAUGUUCCGCAGGAUAAGAACACUCACAGUCACAAGACCAAGGCUUUGAGGAAGAACUGAAUUUGGGGAUGGAGCAAGAGGAGUGAGAUUUAGAACCACCAGCUGGAGAAAAAUGGACCAUCGCACAAUAGAUUCAGCCUUUGGAUUUGGAUUCUAUCAGCCUCUAUAAUCAAUGCUGAUCACCCUCGGAUGGAAAGAGCAGUAACGAUUCACAUCGACGAUGACACCUGGCAGGAAACCCAUAAGAUGGACCGUUUUGACUGAAUUGACUGAUCAACGUCAACCUGUGUGACUCAUUAUUGGACUUCAGGGCCUGCUUAGCUGAUGGUCUGGCCAAAUACACUGGUAGCCUUGGCACCUGCAGGUGUACUUCGAUUGCUCAAUAUAUGAUAUAUGGAAUGUUGUUUAGGGCUGUGAUAAGCGAGAAUAAAUUAGGUCUAAUAAAUAUUCCUUCUGUGUGACUUAUUAACUGUGAAAUUAAAUACAUAGAAAAAAACUCUUCAGUUCUGACUUGUUUCAAAAGCUCUAGAAAUUGUUAUUUUUUUCAACCACUGUAUAAAAUAUUUACUGAGAAAACCUGUAAGGAUCUGAAGAGUAAUUGAAACAUGUGAGAGGUUUAUAUCAGCUAGUUUGAGGCUUUCAUAUAAUAUGUUAUUGAAGUUGGGGGAGGAAUUUGUUUAUGGGUGGCACAGUAUUUUGUGUAACAUGGUGAUUUAAAUAUGCCAAUUGUUACCUUUUUCUUUCUAAAUUUUAAGACGGAUAAGACAGUAGUGAAACUGGAACAGAAGAGCCAAUAUAGUUAACUCUUAGUAACUACUUUUAGUUAAAGCAGACAGUACCUUUCUUCCUCUACUAUAUUAUACUACAAAAUGUUCUCCACUCUUGGAAUUUGCUUCCCAAGAUUCCAGAGUGAACUACUGCAAACACGAUAACCACUUGGGAAUAUUCCAUUCAAUACAAACCAAUAGACUCCAAGCAAAUUUCCAGCUGAGACAUUUUGAGCAAAUUGUAUGUCAGGUUUUUUGUGUAGUAACAAAAGUCCCAAGACCUUUUGACAAGUUCUGAAGCUUUCAGUUCAUCUGAAAAGGACAAAAUGAAGACAACGAGUCAUCUGUGUGUGCAUGCGUGUGUGUGUGCAUGUGUGUGCGUGCCUGUGUGCUGUGAUGUACUUAUACAUUGCUAUAUAGAGAAAUCUUGUCUUUAGAUUUCUCUGUAUAGCAAGAUAGAAAUAAAAAAUUUGAAAAUCACUCUUUCUGAUGAAUGCGUCGAAUGAAGACAACAGUG
rnacentral:lncRNA from 1 species